GACGAACGCUGGCGGCGUGCUUAACACAUGCAAGUCGAACGGGCCUUGUCCCCUUUUUUUUGGGGGUGGGGUUAGUGGCGAACGGGUGAGUAACACGUGAGUAACCUGCCCCUCACUUCUGGAUAACCGCUUGAAAGGGUGGCUAAUACGGGGUGUUCUGGCCUGCUCGCAUGGGUGGGUUUGGAAAGAUUCGACCGGUUUUGGUUGUUUUGGUGGGGGAUGGGCUCGCGGCCUAUCAGCUUGUUGGUGGGGUGAUGGCCUGCCAAGGCUUUGACGGGUAGCCGGCCUGAGAGGGUGGGCGGUCACACUGGGACUGAGACACGGCCCAGACUCCUACGGGAGGCAGCAGUGGGGAAUAUUGCACAAUGGGCGCAAGCCUGAUGCAGCGACGCCGCGUGAGGGAUGGAGGCCUUCGGGUUGUGAACCUCUUUCGCCAGUGAAGAAGGUCCUGCUCUUUGUGGUGGGGAUGACGGUAGCUGGGUUAAUGAAGCGCCGGCUAACUACGUG
rnacentral:rRNA from 1 species